rnacentral:rRNA from 1 species
CCCUUAGAUGUUCUGGGCUGCACGCGCGCUACACUGAUGCGCUCAACGAGUUUUAACCUUGCCUGGAAAGGUUGGGUAAUCUUUUUAAAACGCAUCGUGAUGGGGAUAGAUUAUUGCAAUUAUUAAUCUUCAACGAGGAAUUCCUAGUAAGCGCGAGUCAUCAGCUCGUGCUGAUUACGUCCCUGCCCUUUGUACACACCGCCCGUCGCUCCUACCGAUUGAAUGGUCCGGUGAAGCCUCCGGAUUGGCGCGCACCUCGGUGCCGCCGAGAAGUUGGCUAAACCUUACCAUUUAGAGGAAGGUGAAGUCGUAACA